rnacentral:piRNA from 1 species
UGACAUACAUAAAGUGGACAUGGACACC